AAUUGUUUUCGGUUAAAAUAUUUCUAUAAUUUUUUAUUUUCAUUUGGCGUAAUUUUUUGAUAUCAUUAUUUUUGUAGUAUAUAACGUAUAACAGUUUUUCAAUUAGCGCGUGUACUUGGUGCCUUUCCUUUUACCUUUUUUUAAAAAGGUAAAUUUGUAGGGAUUAUAUCAUUCUUUUUUAUAAUACAUAUUAAUAUCUUUAAAUAUAUAUUCAUGUAUAUACAUUCAACAAGCAAUAUCGAAUUGUUCGAGAACGCGACAAAGAGUGAGAUGAAAGAAUGAGAAAAAGAAGAGAGAAAGAAAGAUAGCAAAAGAAAGAGAGAAAACGGAAAAGAGCGAUAAACAUUAUACAUGAACACCGCGUUCGCGCCUAUAAUUACCAGCUUAUCGUUAUCGAAAACAUGGCCAGUCAAAAUUUCCAAAUAUUCCUUUAAUGCUUCUAUAAUCAUUUUCCAACAAUUUAUUUGUCACAGAUGCAGGGACGGAUUUAUAUAGAAGCUUACGAUGCUUAAGCAUCAGGCCCCCAACAAGAAGGGGACUCCCAAACAACUACCAAACCGACACUUACGAGAACCAUAUAGUAUCAGACUAGAGAUACGUAUUAUUCUGUAUAGUCGUAAUCAGAUGGGUUAUCUGCGUCUUCUUUGGUAAGAAUCCUCCUGUUGGACAUGACGGCUGCGUUUAUAAACUCAUCAAGAAAGAGUUAUCAUAAACUUAAAUGUUAUCAUAAACUGUUAUCUAGAUAAAACAGAAAAUUAUAAUAAUAAAUAACGAGAAAACGAUUAAAUUAUGAUAAAAAAAUUAGUUUUUAUAGUAAUUUUUUCGUCAUUUUUUAACGUCAUUGUAAUUUUUUAUUCUGUCCGGAAAAAGAGCCCCUGAAAUAGUAUUAGCAUUAGGCCCCGAAAAGUCACCAUCCGUCCCUGCACAGAUGUAUUAGUUGACAAUGUACGAUUCACUAAAGUGUAAGUAUUCACUCAGUUUUGCUAAUAUAACCUAAUUUUACUCAAUAUGACAUCGAUUAGAAGAAAUCGUUUUUCUUCCUUACACUAUUCCACGAUAUUCUUAUAACCGUUAAAUUGUUUCUUAUCACUUUAUCACUUUUCUUCCUUGUUAAACUAUUCCGCGAUACUCUUGAUGCGCAUGAAUUUGGUUGCGUAUGACUUGGCUCGAGACACUACUGUCUCUUGAUAUGUCCUCCGCAUACGAAGCGUUUUUAUUAUUUAGGGUCGGAUGAUUAUAUUUGGCGAAUUGUGUGCACUUUUUACAAUCGGCAGCGAUCCUUAUAUAGCUUAGGCGGCUCAUUCACGAGAUCCCACAGGCUUGAGCGGGUUCAACAAUCUUUUAUACCGUGAUGGCGCAUGAAUAUUCAAUAAAAGUGCAAUGGGCGUACAUCGAUCGUACCGGCUGGACGUUCGCGACGUGAAGGCUCAUAUAUUUCAGUUUCUUCAUCGUAAGACACCAAAUGUCAGACAGACCGCGAAGAGAGAUCAUCCGCGCAGAAUAACUAUAAAUCAAAGAUUUUCGUCGUUUUUUUUCUCUUUUCUCUUUUUAUCUUUUCUCGUAUAUAUUUAUGGUUAUAUACAAUAUGACUCAAUGUUAUUAUUAUAUAUGUGAUUCGUGUUAUAAUUUCAUCUCAUAUUAGUCAUACGAGGCACCGCGAAGUAUCAUUUAUCUUGUAUGCUAAUUUGCGUAUCACAGUCUUGACAUAUAUUAUCUUGGAAUAAUUAUAUCUAAUAUGAUUUGUCGCAUUAGAGUAAGAAUAAUCGGCGAACUACUUAAGACGAUUCCACGUGCAAAUCUCCAGCAGAUUUUAAUAAUAGAACGUUACAUCGAGAGAGAUCAAUGUGAAAUUAAUAUUCGGAAACGCGGUAGAGUCUCGUAAGAGAUAUGAAGCGUUUAUUUUAAAAGCGGUGCAAAUCUGCUUUUCUAAAGCAGUAUGAAUUUUAAUAAAAAAUUGAUAAUGGGAAGGGGAAAGGAAGGACGUAUAUCGGUUUUGAUUAGAUUUUCGAUAUUAAGAAUUUAUAGCUAUUUAACAUGGAUGUGUACACAUAUUUCGUAAUGAUAAUUUUCUCUUUUUUCAAUUAAUUUAUACAGAUUAUUGAACUAUGCAUUAUAACAAAUUAGCGCGCUAUUCGCAACGUAAAAUUAAUUGUACCAAUAAUCACGAGAUGAAACUAUACUGUUGAUAUUUUAAUCGGAAGUAACGACGAGAGAGAGAAAAAUUUGCAUUCCUCCUUUUUCGUCUCCUCUUCGACCCCCCCAUGCAGACAGUGGGCGCGCGAACUGGGACACGUGCACAAAUAAAUACUUAAUUUAUCUGAUAUUCAUAGACAAUCGAUCGGCAUUCUGGAAUUAGACUCAUCAUCGUCGAUGGAGCGAAUCGCAAGCGAGAAUGAUAGAGAGAGAAAGAGAGAGAAAGCUAGAAAAGGUGGAAAUCUACCUCACCGCGACGGAGAGUCUACGUCUUCUUCGCCUCUCUCAGGUCAUUUCGGGUCGAAAGUUCGCCAGGGCACGGCCCCCCUAUACAUAGAAGCAACCAGGCUGCCGCCUCUGCCGCUCUUUCUCUUUCGCUCCUCCCCCUCCCUUGCCCUUCUGCCCCCUGUCUUCUCUCUUCCCCCCCGCGUCGCGUGGCAUCCCGCGAACUGACAGGUGAAGCCGGGCACCUGAAAUAUUCAUCGGACGCUGGGCUGAACAAAGCGCGACCGAACGUCAAUCUGUCAACCUGCUCUUCUCCAUCCUCGCUAUGUAUCCGCGUAUGUAUCCUGCACUCGAAGCGCGCAUGUCGGUUUAAUGCGUGUGUGUGUGUGUGUGUGUGUGUGUGUGUAUUUUCACUCACGCGAGUAUACUCGAUUAUUCGCGCGACGCAUACAACACACACGGAUGCAUAGACAGCGACUUCUCGCCGCUGGUUAUAUUGGCAAUUAUAUGGAGAAAGAUGAGAUCGAUUCAGCGACGAAUGCAGAUUUCACGUACGCGAAAGUGAAUUGAAAACGAUCAGGAGUAUGCAUAUAUAUAUCGUUCUUUUUUCUUCUCUUUUUUUUUACGCGAGAGUAUAGGUACGUAUGUUACAAAUAUGCUAUCUAACGUACUCUAUUUGCAGGGAAAUUUAAUGAGAUUUGUGAAAUUUGUCACAUAUGAAAGUUGACUUCCAUCGAUUUUUUUAUUUGAAUUGUUAAAAACUUUUUUGGCUAAAAUUGUAAUUGGGAAAACACACACACACACAGUUACUCUUUUUUACGCUUUAAAAGAAUAUUUCAUAUAAGAAAUAAUUUGAUAAAGCGCAUUUUCCGAUUCAAUUUGCCGGGAUUUUGGCUAAAAUAAGCGAAGAAUAGAACACAACAAAGUUGACAGUUGAAGAUAUUAUAAUAAAAAUUAGGGACUCACGUCUGCACAUAUCAUGCAUUUCUACUUAAUAAAAUAAAAUCUAUUAUUCACAUUCUUCUAUCUUUAGAACGUUUUAUAAAUGUCAUUAAAUCAUCAUUAAAUGUCAUAUAAACGUGGCAGUUAUUUUACUAUUCAAUCUCUUCAUGAUAAUUAUAUUAUAAUAAUAUUUUCAUUUAUUUUAAUUAAUUAUUUCAAGAAUAGAGAAAGUGAGAGAAAAUCUCCACGAAGCUACGAGCGCAUCAUGCACAUGUACGUACGCACGUGUCGACGCACGUGUGAGGAUCUCGUUUGUCGCUUUCCCGCGGUUUCCGACCGCGCGCAGCCGGAGUUCCCGACGAAACACUAUCGCUGCCGACAUCGAGGCGCAUCGGAGAUUGUGUAAUUCUCGCCAGAGAAAACGGAGAUGCGAACGGAAGAAACUUUCGGCGAAGCCUCUGACUCGCCUCUGACGUGAGCUGAUGCAUCCUUCAGAAUUAAUCCUUUGCGAUUUCCGACAUCGAGAUAAAUUCGACAUAGAGUUGUACGAUGUUAAACUUUACUCUCUUAA